rnacentral:rRNA from 1 species
UUCUGGGCCGCACGCGCGCUACACUGACAGAGCCAACGAGUUCAUUUCCUUAGCCGAAAGGUUUGGGUAAUCUUGUUAAACUCUGUCGUGCUGGGGAUAGAGCAUUGCAAUUAUUGCUCUUCAACGAGGAAUGCCUAGUAAGCGCAUGUCAUCAGCAUGCGUUGAUUACGUCCCUGCCCUUUGUACACACCGCCCGUCGCUACUACCGAUUGAAUGGCUCGGUGAGGCCUUCGGACUGGCCCAGGGAGGUCGGCAACGACCACCCAGGGCCGGAAAGUUGGUCAAACCCGGUCAUUUAGAGGAAGUAAAAGUCGUAACAAGGUCUCCGUAGGUGAACCUGCGGAGGGAUCAUUACAAGUGACCCCGGUCUAACCACCGGGAUGUUCAUAACCCUUUGUUGUCCGACUCUGUUGCCUCCGGGGCGACCCUGCCUUCGGGCGGGGGCUCCGGGUGGACACUUCAAACUCUUGCGUAACUUUGCAGUCUGAGUAAACUUAAUUAAUAAAUUAAAACUUUUAACAACGGAUCUCUUGGUUCUGGCAUCGAUGAAAAACGCACCGAAAUGCGAUAAGUAAUGUGAAUUGCAGAAUUCAGUGAAUCAUCGAAUCUUUGAACGCACAUUGCGCCCCCUGGUAUUCCGGGGGGCAUGCCUGUUCGAGCGUCAUUUCACCACUCAAGCCUCCUUGGUAUUGGGCAACGCGGUCCGCCCCGUGCCUCAAAUCAACCGGGUGGGGUCUUCUGUCCCCUAAGCGUUUGUGGAAACUAAUUUCCCUAAAAGGGGGUUCGGGAGGCUACCCCCCUAAAAACAACCCCC